rnacentral:rRNA from 1 species
CUUUACUGCAACUUGACAUUGGAUUCUGGCUGUACUUGUGUAGGAUAGGUGGGAGACUUUGAAGCAGGGCCGCCAGGUCUUGCGGAGUCGUCGUUGAAAUACCACCCUGGUGCUGACGAGUUUCUAACCGUGUCCGUAAGCCGGACAUGAGACAGCGUCUGGUGGGCAGUUUGACUGGGGCGGUCGCCUCCUAAAAGGUAACGGAGGCAUUCAAAGGUCCCCUCAGCGUGGUCGGUAAUCACGCGCAGAGUGCAAACGCAUAAGGGGGCUUAACUGCGAGACCGACAGGUCGAGCAGGUACGAAAGUAGGAGUUAGUGAUCCCGCGGUUUAGCGUGGAAUUGCCGUUGCUCAAUGGAUAAAAGGUA